GUUUCAUCCAGAGGAGAAUCAGGCCUCAGGCUUUUGUUUUGCCAAUCUAAGCCGUCACCUGCUCUCGCCUGUACCGAGAGGGCUCUCAACGGUCUGUGUCCCUCACUUCUGCCCUCUGCUGACACUCAGCCACACACCGGCAAGGCCGGGCUGGACAGUGACAUAUCAGAACACUUGCCUGCUGCGUCUGGCUUCCCCGCUUGGCUGGGAGCUCCUGAACAGGGUCUUCCUCCUCAGCCGCCCCAGACCCUGACACACAGCAGCCCUGAGGGCCUGCCUGCUUGUGCGCUGACUCCUGGGCCAGGUUCCCUGCCGUAGAAGGUGCCAAGGAGAAAACAAGGCUCCACUGGUGGAGAAGUUUACCGAAUUUCACCAGGAUAAACGUGGGUGUGGGUCAAUUACAGGGAGUGGAGGUGGUGAGACUCAUUUGUCACCUAAACAAUGAGAGAGGUGGCCGAGAUUGGGGCAGGAAUUCCUAGACUGGGUUAUAAGAAGUUCUGUGGGAUCCAUGGAAGUGUUUUGGGGUCCCGGGGAGUUCUGAAGCAGGUGACAAUACUGAGUGUAUGUGCUGGGGCAGUUUUCUGGGCAGUGGGUCAGUGAUUUUCAUCAGCUUCUUUACGAAGCCUGUGGCCUCCAGGAGGUUAAGAAGGCUGGCCUGGAUUAUCUGUCUUGAGAUCCCUUCUGAUUAAGGCUUCUGCACUUUUGAAAUAAUGAGUUGUCUCAGGAGCCCCAGGAGUGGAGAUACAGGUGGUGGCUGAUUCCUUGCGGCCACCUGGUGGUGCUGGGGUGCAUAGCAUCCUUUGGGCAAUAGGAAAAUUCUGGCUGACUUCCUGCUGGGCAAGUCCUAGGAAAAGGUCGGGAAGGAGGUUUUGGGAUCUGGGUGCAGCUGCCUUCUCCCUUAAAGGGCGAGAGCAGUGCUGGUCCAAAGCUGGAAGGGAAGGCCUGGGUGGUCGGGUCACCUCCUCACCACUCACUCUGCCCUCAGGUUCCCCUGAGCUCCCUUGGGGGGCUUCCUGGGAGUCCAGAGUCAGGGACCAAGUGAGCCUGGGAGCUGUCUGUGGGGAGGGUGUGCCAAGAGUGGCCUUGGGUUGGAAGGGAGGAGUUUCUGGCUUAAGUGGGGACAGAAGGGCUGAGGAACCCUGGCCAGACUUGAGAAUAAAGGCUGAGCUUUGUGUCUCUCAGACGACGCCCCUUGAAUCAACUUUUUAACUCCACUUCCAUUCUGAGAUGUGAGCACAGUUUACACCCAAUUCACAGAUGAGGAAACUGAGGCCCAAAGAAAUGACAUGAUUUGCUUUAAGACCACACAGUUAGACGGUUGUGGAGCCAGUCUCCCCACUGCAGAUGAACACCUCCACCUUUCCCAGCCUCCCAGCCUCCCGCCUUGGUGCCCCCAGCCUGGGCUGAUGGUGGUCAGGAGCCUCAUCUUGUGUGGAGGGAGUUCAGGCGAGCCUCCUUUGUUCUGUUUCCUUCAGUUCUUCUUACUGUGCAGCGAGUCAGUAGGGCCAGACCCACUGCCGAGGGCCUGGGCCAGGGCAAAGCAGGAACCUGCAGCCCAUUUCAGCACAGCUAUCCUUCCUGAGGCUGGAAAGUGGCUGCUUUAGGACAAUCCAAAGCAAGACCCCACAACAGGGUAUAAAACAAGGCGGGGGUCUCACCCUAGGUUGAAUAUAAAAUAGGAGUCGGGAAAGGCUUGAUCCUUGGGUGACAGAUGUGUGCAAUGUUUCUGAAUCUAAGUCAGGUUGAAGCUGGGAAGAUGGCAUCACAGAGCCUUCUGCUUCUCAACUUGACUGCCACUUUCUUUGGCCAAGGAGCCUGAUCUCCAUCAAGUCGGGAAAACUUCUUCCUUCUUCUCUCCUCAUGCACAGAGCUCACAUCUUUAUCGCAUGUGACUUUCUCUAUAGCAUUUGCCCAUUUGCUCAUCUGCAGCCCUUUUAGGCCCUGAGCAUCCCUGGGUGGGACCGUGUUGGUCCAGUGAUACUGUGAUACCAUGAGACCAUGCUGGUGUCCCCAGCAGGUAGCCCAUGGUCUGGCACGUGGGAGGUAUUUCAAAAAGUGUAUUAAAUGAGAAAGUGACUCAGUCACAUGGUAUCACAUAGAAUUGUGGGGAUGUUUCUUGCCUGGACAAGAAUUCUGAGAUGACCAGAGUGGAGCUGACAUCUGUCAGGUUCGCUGAAAUGACAAAAAGGAACCAGGACCUUGCCUUAAGUCCCCAGUGUGAGUAGGUCUCCCGGUUGCAGUGGUUAUGAGCAGGCAGUGUCAGUGGAGACUUGACCUUGAAGGAUGCUACAAGCUGGUGUGUGUGACGUUCCUGGCGGUCCCAGGGGACGGCCUCUCUUCUCAUGGUGCUACUGCGUUCUUCCCUGGGUCAAGAAAAGAAUAAGACAUCAGGCUUUCAGUAAAUUUUAAAUAAUUAUUGGAUCUUAAAUUCAUUUGAAAGCAUACUCAUGUGAACAUAUACAAAUAUUAAAAAAAGUAAAAUGAAUGCACAUCUACUGUGCAGCAACGUGAAGAAGUUGUUUUUAGUAUUGCACUAUUAAUUCAUGUUUCUAUUUCUAGAAUUUCUGUUUUACAAAUUUAAACUAUUUUUCUGUUUUUUUCCCUGUAAAGUCCAAAAUCUUGUGUUUAGUUAAUUGUACAAUAAAAGCAGUCUU